rnacentral:lncRNA from 1 species
CAUUACAUUAUAAUACAUUAAUAUGUUAUUUUAAAUAAUUUAAUAUUAUGUUAUAUUAUGAGAAAUUAAUUUAUACUAAUAAUUAUAAUAUUUUAUACUUUUAUUAUUGUAUUAUACUAUAAAUAUAAUAUACAUUACAUUAUAUCAUAAUACAUUAAUAUGUUAUGUUAAAUAAUUUAAUAUUAUGUUAUAUUACCAAAUAUUAAUUUACUCUAAGAAUUAUAUUACUAUUAUGCUAUAUUAACAUAAUAUUAUUUUAUAUUACAAUAAUAUUAUACUAUAUCAUAUAUUUAUGUAUUAAUUUAUGUUAUAUUUUAUUAUAUUCUGUUGUAUAAUACUAUGCAUGUCCUUUAUGGUAAUUUUAUCAUAUAAAAGUACUUUCUCAGUUUGUUUAUCAAACACAAAACAAAGAACCAACAGCACUUUACAAAUGUAGUUACCAAACAGCAAACAGUUUUUUAUAACAGCUCUACUUCAGACAGCUCUACUUCCAACAGCUCUACUUCCAACAGCUCUACUGCCAACAGCUCCUCCAAACAGGGCCUAAAACUCUAUAGCAGUUUAGACAACUGUCUCUUGAAAUUCUUAUCUCUCUCUCUCCUUACAUUACGUAAUUGCACAUUGUUUUGUAGGAUUGCUAAAAUAUUUAUUUCUGUAUCUACAGUAUUUGAUCAUAGAAAACAAUAACGAUCUAGGAGCUAUUCAGAUGCCUGGGUCAGUGGUCACUGACGGUAGAGAAACGGCAGGAAAGCUGGAGAAUUGUUCCGUCUUAUCCCCACUCUUUGAGAAUGCUAAGAUCCCAACUUCUCCGUCCUGGCAUUCGUUGAAUGCUUGCUCAAGUGAGAUAAGUGCAUCUCGGUAUUUCUUGGGCAAUUUGUAUCAUUUGAAUGAGUGUUUUGUUCUGUAAUCCUUCUGUUAUGUUCUGAGUGAUUCUAUCGUUGAUCAUUGCAUCGAAACGGGUGUAUUGGGGGUGGUUUCUACUUUCCACUUGUGCGGUCAGGAACAAGACAUUAUAUCUGCUAUAUGCUUGUAGUGCUUUGGUGAAUGCUUGUUUUUGACAUUAUAAGCAGACAAUUUUUAAUCCGUCUAAGUUUUGAAAUGACUAUUGCGGUGGGGCAAGAUCCUUAUUUCCAUGUGUGUAAAGAUCAUGUUACAGACAAAAACUAAAAAAGAGGAUCAAAGUUCACCCUCAGAUAAUCUGGUUGUGGUUGCUUCCAUGAAAUAAUUAUUUGAAAAGAAGAAUCCGCAAAAUCUAGUGGAAAGUCCAAUUUUCUGCGGGCCUUGUCAGAAUUGUGAUCCUGAGGUUCAUCGUCCUCCCAACAAUCCAGCGGCAACCUGCUCGCCCGAGUGCAAGCAAAUGCUACUAUGAGUUCCUUCCAUAAUCCCGCUUAGCCUUCAAAAGUCCUCCACAACCACUUUCAUUGCGAUGCUCUAUCGAAGUUUUGCUUCGUUC